UACGUAGGUGGCAAGCGUUGUCCGGAAUUACUGGGUGUAAAGGGAGCGCAGGCGGGGGAGCAAGUCAGCUGUGAAAUCUAUGGGCUUAACCCGUAAAUUGCAGUUGAAACUGUUUCUCUUGAGUGAAGUAGAGGUAGGCGGAAUUCCGAGUGUAGCGGUGAAAUGCGUAGAUAUUCGGAGGAACACCAGUGGCGAAGGCGGCCUACUGGGCUUUAACUGACGCUGAGGCUCGAAAGUGUGGGGAGCAAAC
rnacentral:rRNA from 1 species